UAAUUUCUCUCUCACUCUCAUGUCACCCCAAACCAGAAAUCGUCUCCCCAACCCGAACCUAGAAUUCGCCCCCCUACCCCCAGCCCCAGUCCAGACCGGCGACACCUUCCUCCGGCGAGACGUGCGGUAGCUGCCUUCGACUCCAGACCAGCGAGACGCGCUCCAGGCCUGCCGCAGCUGCUCUCCACUCCGGCGAGACCACGCCUCCAGGCCCACCGCAGCCCUCCAGUCCGGCGAGACCGCGCCUCCAGCCAGGCCUUCCGGUAGCGUCAUUUCAUUUAGUUUGUUUUCCAGUUACUAGUUGUAAAGUGUAAACACAAGGGUUAAAUUAGCAUUUUCCAAAG
rnacentral:lncRNA from 1 species